rnacentral:rRNA from 1 species
AUUGAACGCUGGCGGCAGGCCUAACACAUGCAAGUCGAACGAGUGGCGGACGGGUGAGUAAUGUCUGGGAAACUGCCCGAUGGAGGGGGAUAACUACUGGAAACGGUAGCUAAUACCGCAUACCAUCGGAUGUGCCCAGAUGGGAUUAGCUAGUAGGUGGGGUAACGGCUCACCUAGGCGACGAUCCCUAGCUGGUCUGAGAGGAUGACCGGCCACAUGGGAACUGAGACACGGUCCAGACUCCUCGGGGAGGAAGCAGUGGGGAACAUUGCACAAGGGGGGAAAGCCUGAUGCAGACAUGCCGCGUGGAUGAAGAAGGCCUCCGGGUGGUAAAGUAUUUUCAGCGAGGAGGCGUUACCCUCAGAGGAAGCACCGGCUAACUCCGUACCAGCAGCCGCGGUAAUUC